AUUGAACGCUGGCGGCAGGCCUAACACAUGCAAGUCGAACGAGUGGCGGACGGGUGAGUAAUGUCUGGGAAUCUGCCCGAUAGAGGGGGAUAACUACUGGAAACGGUAGCUAAUACCGCAUACUAUCGGAUGAACCCAUAUGGGAUUAGCUAGUAGUGGGGGUAAAGGCUCACCUAGGCGACGAUCCCUAGCUGGUCUGAGAGGAUGACCAGCAAUACUGGAACUGAGACACGGCCCAGACUCCUACGUGAGGCAGCAGUGGGGAAUAUUGCACAAUGGGCGCAAGCCUGAUGCAGCCAUGCCGCGUGUAUGAAGAAGGCCUUCGGGUUGUAAAGUACUUUCAGCGGGGAGGCGUUACCCGCAGAAGAAGCACCGGCUAACUCCGUGCCAGCAGCCGCGGUAAUAC
rnacentral:rRNA from 1 species